rnacentral:misc_RNA from 1 species
GAUGAAGAACGCAGCGAAAUGCGAUAAGUAAUGUGAAUUGCAGAAUUCAGUGAAUCAUCGAAUCUUUGAACGCACAUUGCGCCCGCCAGUAUUCUGGCGGGCAUGCCUGUCCGAGCAUCAUUUCAACCCUCGAACCCCUCCGGGGGGUCGGCGUUGGGGAUCGGCCCCUCACCGGGCCGCCCCCGAAAUCCAGUGGCGGUCUCGCCGCAGCCUCUCCUGCGCAGUAGUUUGCACACUCGCACCGGGAGCGCGGCGCGGCCACAGCCGUAAAACACCCCAAACUCUGAAAUGUUGACCUCGGAUCAGGUAGGAAUACCCGCUGAACUUAAGCAUAUCAAUAAGCGGAGGA